UCAUCAAUUAGUUUUUGUGUGAUGAUGUUGCUAUUGUUGUUGGUGGUGGUGUAUUUGUUGCUUUAGUUUUGUCUGUGCUUGUAUUUGUUGUUGUUCUUCACCUUUUUGCACACCAUGUGUUUGACAAAAUGUUCAAACGAAUUUGGUCCAUGCUCAUGUCUUGUCUCGAAGCAAUAAAAAAGCAAAUAUAGUUUUGCUGCAAUAUAACCAUACACCAAUUUCUUUUUUCUUUGUCGAACUUCAAAUAUUAUGUAUGAAGCCCAUAUGGGCUGAUUGAUGCAGUAGGGAUCCUAGGUUGGAUUAUGAUUUCAACCUCUUAUCUUAUCCUUUUUGUUUUUAAUUUUUUUUCAUUCCCUGUGUCAAGUAAGUUAUGUAGUAGGCUAGACCAACCUUGUUAGCUAAAUGUUCAUCCAAUAAUAGAAGGUUAAUUGAUUGCCCAUGAGUGCACAUUGUUUUUCUCAUGUGUAAGGCCAAAAACCAAUAAUUUCCUUAGUUUGGUUCCCUGUGAUUUAGUUAUUGUCCCAUGUUUGGAGAAUUGAUAAUGGUCUGUUUGGCUUGGGUUUUGGCAUCAACAAAAGCCAACAUGCAUUAGACUUGCAUCCCUGUUGGCAGUUCAUGGAGGGUUAGAAACCAAUAUAAAGACUUUUUACUUACUUCUCAUAUGUUUAAUGACUCCCUCCCUGUGUUUGUGUGCAUGCAUGUAUGCGGUUUUGUGCUUGUAGACAACAAAAGUCAACCAGUGUGGUUCAUGCACGAACUUCAGCUCCCUCCAUCUAUGCAUGUGUGCACGCGUGUGUGCAAUUGUGCGAAUGGAGACAUAGAAAGUCAACCUGUGUAGUUCAUACAUGAACUUUAAGUUAAACACUGUAGGCUUGCCAAUUACUUACAUAAUUUCAGCUUUAAGACACUUGUUUGCAUCACGUGCAUCACGUUUUACUUCCAAUUUUUGUUUGAUCAACACACUUCAUGUAUUAUAGCUUUGUUGCGUUUACACUACACACACACACACACAAAAAUUGGCGCACUUGAAUCAUAUAAAAAUGGGAAAUUAGUAGAGCACAUUUGUACAUUGAGUUCUAGAAAUAAAUCACAAUUAUUAAAUUGAAGGAAAUUUUUUACACUGGAUCUGAAUGUAGGAUAUGAGAAGACAAGGUGACCUACAGACCUUCCACCUAAUGCCAUGGAAUUUAUCAACUGAGCCUCUUAUCUUAGAUCGCGAGGUGUUUUUUGAUUGCAUAAAUAUUUUCUCAAAUUAGCUAUUGGGCUCAUUCGUGCAACUUAUGGUGUCUUUAUAGGCUUAAUUUUUUCAUUAUUAUAAUUGAUGAAUUCACUUUUGCAUUUGGGAAUUUUGGCAUCUUUGGGUAUGUUUGAUUACAAGGAUUAUAGUAUAGAAUUGGGAUUGUUAGUCCAUGGACUCACAAUCACAUAUUUGAUUGUAAAUUUUAUUAAUCAGAUUACAUGUAUGAUAGAUAUUCAAUCCGACGAAAUUGACGAAUUUUUAAUAUUGACAGGGGCAAAGGAUUAUAAUUUCAAAUAUGAAAGAAAAAUAAAAUAAAAUGAAUACAUAAUAAAUGGUUAUCUCACUAAUUUAAUUAGAUAAUUAAUCUUACACUAAUUCAUGGGAUUAUUAAUCUUUUCACUAUUAAUCCUAUUAAUCAAACAAGCCCUUUGUUCACAAUGGGCCAAGAAAGCUGUUUAAUUUGAAAUAACCUCCACUGGCUGCUAAUCCUGUUUUGGAAUGAAAGUUGUUGGCUGGACCAUGCUUUUGCCUUUAAGCCCACCUACUACCAACCUCGUAAUGUCAGGAUAUCCCGGGUUGCCACCUAGCACCUGCUCAUUUGAUUUGGGAGUUGAAACUCAAUGUUAUUUGAUAUUGGUAUUUAGGAAUUUGAACGUUCUUAUACAUUUUAUACAGAUAUGUUUCAAAAUGAACUCAAAAUAUAACAAAACAUAUCACCAGAAAUUUAAUUUGGAGUACUAUCCAUACCUCCUUUGCAUCAGGUUCAAUUGAGUAUUGCAAGGGUCCUUUAAUGCAUAAGCACUUUUAGUUCUCAAUUGCUAAGAUAUAGUUCUGGCUUGAGAACUACUAAUUCUUUCUCAACAAGUACUGUUAGAGAACUAAGAAGUCACUGCUUUUUGCUCAAAAGCCAACUUUUACUGGUGUCCUCUGGCCUCUUUUUAGCUCUUUCUGCUUCUGCCCCUACCAUUUUUCUGUGUUCUUUUUUUUAUUUUUUAUUUUUGAAAAUGCAGAUAAAACUGCACUGUCACCUCACAUGUCUCCAUCGGUGUUUUGAUGUGAUUUUUUUUUUAAUGCUCAUCGAAUUAAACACAUGCUUUACAACGGCUUGUAUGGGCCCCCAUCAAUUCAUGAGUUCCAUCCUUUCAAACUUACUCCAAUGUCUGAACUAUUCAUUCAUCUUAUUUAUACAUAAAGAGCAUGGAAGUAAUGCAGUCUAUAGAUUUACGGUGCAUAUCCAUAUGCGAUAUCAACAUGCACGAAUCAAACAUCUGACCUGUUUUUUUUCAACAAAGCAAGGGUUUGGAGUUAAUUAAUUUGGCCGUGCUUGUUUUCUAAGUACCCAAGAUCUAUUCUUGUAUUUUUGCUUUGUUCACACCAUUUUUUUGUAUGUAAUGUAGCUCAUUUAAUUACAGAAAGUGUUUGACGAGGCAAUUAUUGAUAUUCUGUUUCCUAUGGAUGAAAUUGGUACCGUAAAUCCAAAAGUGCUACUGGAGCUCUUCUUAGUGCACUGUGAUUGGCAGUAGGCAAAGGCCCAGAAGAUUAGUAAGAAACAGGGAAUGCUCUUGCUUGGCAUAUAAAACUUGUGCAUAGAAGCGGUUUGAGGAUAUGCUAAAGAGACUAAUACUUCAUUGCCUCCAAGGGCUCAAAUGCGGGCAUAAACUAAUGCAUAGGAGCUAUUUGACUAAAAUUCCGAAAAUGCUUAUGGGUCUAUUGACGAACAACUGAAUGGUGAGUCAACCCAAAAUCUUUUGCCUGUCCAAAGGGUUCUGAGAGUAAGAUAGGAAUGGAAAGACAUUAUGUGAUCCACACAGCAUUUCUACGUCAAUAAAAUGUAUAGGAAUAAGUGGAUUCAAACUGAAGAAAUAAUGUUGUAAAUUUUGAAACGGUUUAAUUGAAAUAUAUAUUGUAUACAUA